rnacentral:rRNA from 1 species
UACGAAGGGGGCUAGCGUUGCUCGGAAUCACUGGGCGUAAAGCGCACGUAGGCGGCUUUUUAAGUCAGGGGUGAAAUCCUGGAGCUCAACUCCAGAACUGCCUUUGAUACUGGAGAUCUUGAGUCCGGGAGAGGUGAGUGGAACUCCGAGUGUAGAGGUGAAAUUCGUAGAUAUUCGGAAGAACACCAGUGGCGAAGGCGGCUCACUGGCCCGGUACUGACGCUGAGGUGCGAAAGCGUGGGGAGCAAACAGG